UACGUAGGGACCAAGCGUUGUCCGGAAUCAUUGGGCGUAAAGAGCGCGUAGGCGGCUUGUUAAGUCUUGCGUGAAAUCUCGGGGCUCAACCCCGAGCGGUCGUGAGAAACUGGCAGGCUAGAGUGCGGGAGAGGAGAGUGGAAUUCCUGGUGUAGCGGUGAAAUGCGCAGAUAUCAGGAAGAACACCAGUGGCGAAGGCGGCUCUCUGGAACGCAACUGACGCUGAGACGCGAAAGCGUGGGGAGCAAACAGG
rnacentral:rRNA from 1 species